AUUUCUUUCUUUCUUUCUUUCUUUCUUUUUUUCCCCUCUUUUCCUUUUCUUCUUUUAAAUAUACGUUUGGAAAUUUGCCGGGCGUGGUGGCGGGCGCCUGUAAUCCCAGCUACUCGGGAGGCUGAGGCAGGAGAAUCGCUUGAAUCCGGGAGACGGAGGUUGCAGUGAGCCGAGAACGCGCCACUACACUCCAGCCUGGACGACGAGAGUGAUACUCCGUCUCAGUCAAUCAAUCAAUCAAUCAAUCGUUUGAUUUUCGUUUUAUGCUUUUACUUCCAAAUUUAUAUUUAUUGCAAAAAAUGUGGAAUAUAACAAAGUGUAAAGGUGAAACUGAAAUAACCCGAAAUUAUAUUUCCCCCUCUGUGGUUUUUUUUUUUCCGUCUCUGUGUUUUUCAAUGUUUUUCAGGCCUUCUGUCUUGAGCUCGUAUUACUGCUGUUCACUGAUGUAUUGUAAAAGCGUAAAACCGGACGUGACCCAAAUGUCUAUCAAAGGAGACUGAUGAGAGAAAUAAACGGAUUUGUUCACACAACGGCUUCUACAGCAAAGAAACAGAAGGUAGCUCCAAGUGCUCUGAAAUGGAAAGAAAUGGGGUUUGGUCAUGUUACCCAGGCUGGUCUCAAGCUCCUGGGAUCAAGUGAUCCGUCCGCCUUUGCCUCCCAAAGUGCUGGGAUUACAGCGGGGAGCCACUGCGCCCAGCCCAGCCAGCCCGAUUCUGACCCAGAGGGUUUAGAAGUUGC
rnacentral:lncRNA from 1 species